rnacentral:rRNA from 1 species
AGCCCAAUUCUAGCCCAACCACUACAACCAGUACUUAAAAAUUCACUUAACCUCUAAACUAAAGCAUUCUUCUAACUUAGUAUAGGCGAUAGAAAAGAUUACAGGGCGCGAUAGAAACUUGUACCGUAAGGGAAAGAUGAAAUAGCAAUGAACAAGCCAAGCAAUAGACAGCAAAGAUAAAUCCUUGUACCUCUUGCAUCAUGAUUUAGCAAGAACAACCAAGCAAAGUGAACUUAAGCUUGCCACCCCGAAACCCAAGCGAGCUACUCACAAGCAGCAACCUUAGAGCGAACCCGUCUCUGUUGCAAAAGAGUGGGAUGACUUGUUAGUAGAGGUGAUAAGCCAAUCGAGCUGGGUGAUAGCUGGUUACCUGUGAAAUGAAUCUAAGUUCUACCUUGACAUUCCCUCCAAGGACCCUCUAACUACCCCAAUGAAGACAGUCAAGAGCAAUUUAAAGGAGGUACAGCUCCUUUAAAAAAGAAUACAACCUCCCCUAGCGGAUAACUCCUAACACCAAACUAACUGUGGGCCCUCAGGCAGCCACCAACAAAGAGUGCGUCAAAGCUCUAACCCUUAAAAAUCCUAAAACUAUGCGACUCCCUUACCACCAACAGGUUAACCUAUGACAAUAGGAGAGUUAAUACUAAAAUGAGUAACUAGGACAUGUCCCUCUCAAGCGCAAACUUACAUUACCGCAUUAUUAACAGACAACUAAUACCCUCACUCCGACAAGAUCACGUAUUUCACCCCCUGUUAACCCAACUCAGGAGCGCAUGUUAGAAAGAUUAAAAUCUGUAAAAGGAACUAGGCAAACCUUAGGCCCGACUGUUUACCAAAAACAUAGCCUUCAGCUGAACCAAGUAUUGAAGGUGAUGCCUGCCCAGUGACUCACGUUCAACGGCCGCGGUAUCCUAACCGUGCGAAGGUAGCGCAAUCAAUUGUCCCAUAAAUCGAGACUUGUAUGAAUGGCUAAACGAGGUCUUAACUGUCUCUUACAGAUAAUCAGUGAAAUUGAUCCUCCCGUGCAAAAGCAGGAAUAAACACAUAAGACGAGAAGACCCUGUGGAACUUAAAAAUCAACAGCCACCCCAUAGACUAAAUCAAACCCACUUGGCCCACUACAACAAAACGCUGGCUCACAUUUUUCGGUUGGGGCGACCUUGGAGAAAAACAAAUCCUCCAAUAAUAAGACCACCUCCUCUUGACCAAGAGCUACCCCUCAACGUACUAACAGCAACCAGACCCAAUAUAAUUGACCAAUGGACCAAGCUACCCCAGGGAUAACAGCGCAAUCCCCUCCAAGAGCCCAUAUCGACGAGGGGGUUUACGACCUCGAUGUUGGAUCAGGACAUCCUAAUGGUGCAGCCGCUAUUAAGGGUUCGUUUGUUCAACGAUUAACAGUCCUACGUGAUCUGAGUUCAGACCGGAGCAAUCCAGGUCGGUUUCUAUCUAUGAUGAAUUUUUCCCAGUACGAAAGGACCGGAAAAAUGAGGCCAAUACUACAACGCAUGCCUUCUCUCUAAAUAAUGACCUCAACUAAAUUACCAAGAGACCUCACACCAUCCAAUCCUAGAAAAGGAUC